rnacentral:rRNA from 1 species
GNNNNNNUGNGGGNUNUUUUGGCAUGCAGUCGACGGUAGGAUACCUUCGGGUAUCUGAGAGUGGCGAACGGGUGAGUAACGCGUAGGUGAUCUACCCUCAAGAUUGGGACAACCCAGGGAAACUUGGGCUAAUACCGGAUGAAAGCAGCAGCGAUGUUGUUUGAAAGGUGGCGUAAGCUGCCGUUUGGGGAUGAGCCUGCGCUCUAUUAGUUAGUUGGCGGGGUAAAGGCCCACCAAGGCGAUGAUAGAUAGGCGGCCUUAACGGGUGGUCGCCCACACUGGGAUUGAGAUACGGCCCAGACUCCUACGGGAGGCAGCAGUCGAGAAUAGUCUACAAUGGCCGAAAGGCUGAUAGUGCGACGCCGCGUGAACGAAGAAGCCCUUCGGGGUGUAAAGUUCUUUUAUAUGUGAGCAGUGCUUUCUAUGUGAACAGCAUAGGGAGAGAGAUAUUAGCAUAUGAAUAAGCAACGGCUAACUCCGUGCCAGCAGCCGCGGUAACACGGGGGUUGCGAGCGUUGUCCGGAAUUACUAGGCGUAAAGGGCAGGCAGGCGGAUUUAUAAGUUUUCUGUUUAAGGCAACGGCUCACCCGUUGUAAGGCAGGAGAUACUGUAGAUCUGGAAUGCGGUUGGGGAAGACAGAAUUCCUGGCGUAGCGGUGGAAUGCGCAGAGAUCACGAGGAAUACCGAAUGCGAAGGCAGUCUUCCAAGCCGUAAUUGACGCUGAACUGCGAAGGUGUGGGUAUCAAACAGGAUUAGAUACCCUGGUAGUCCACACAGUAUUCGAUAAUCACUGGGUGUCGGGUUCGAAGAGGAUUCUGUGCCCUAGCUAACGCGAUAAGUGAUUCGACAGGUGAGUACGAUCGCAAGGUUGAACCUCAAA